AACAUUCUGGUACUCUAAGAUACGUUAUAUCUCAAAUUACUAAAUGAUGAUAAAUAAAUAACCCAAAAAGUUCAAAACCAGUUUAAUUUUCGCAGGUUUGAUUGCUAAACUGCACUUUGAAUCAUGUACCAUCUUCCCCUAUCGUUGUCAUUGCAUCAUUUCCUACCGAAUUUUUACAUGCUAAAUUUUGCUACAACAUCAUCCACACUUGGGUUGGAGACUUGGAGUCAUCGUCGUCUCUAACUACUCUACACAAUAAGCUCCCUCUGCAGCUCUACUAUUUACAAGGAAAAAAUAAGAGAAAAAAUAUUAAGGCAAAAAAAAAAAAUGUCGCAGCCACCAAACCACGCGUAGGCUGCAAGUGGGGCCCGN
rnacentral:lncRNA from 1 species